CCGUGAGGGAAAGUUGCAAAGCACUUUGAAGAGAGAGUUAAAAAGGACGUGAAACCGGUGAGGUGGAAACGGACAGAGCCUGCGUAUCUAGCUNGCAUUCAACCAAAUCUACUCGNGCGUCGAGUGGUUGCUCUCCAGACUGAGGAUGCCAUUUGUCUACCCGGAAGCUUAUGGUGCAUUUGCAGGUGGAGUGCGCCGAGGCAGGCGGUGCAGUGGCAUGAGCUCGACUUUGAGGCCAGCCCUUAGCGGGGUCUGGUACCCGGGUCGGGGGAUUGUUGUUUGCGCUGCCUGAACGAUGGGGGCAUGGAGUCGGGCUUGGGUGGGUGCUGAGCUGGCUGUUCGUGGCGGUCGCGUGCGACACGUACCAAUAGUCUGUUUAGCUCUACUCGUGUUCACAUUGCCCUGACCUCGGUGUAAAAGCAGGUUAUCUGUCCGACCCGUCUUGAAACACGGACCAAGGAGUUUAGCGUCUGCGCGAGUCAUUGGGUGCUGAAAACCUAAAGGCGUAAUGAAAGUGAAGGUGUCCCCCGUGGAACUGAUGUGUGACCUGGGCCGUUUCGAUGGUUCAGAGCAACAUGGUCCCGUCCUGAUCGCAUGCGAUGGGGCGGAGACAGAGCGCACGCGCUGAGACCCGAAAGAUGGUGAACUAUUCCUGAGCAGGACGAAGCCAGAGGAAACUCUGGUGGAAGUCCGAAGCGAUUCUGACGUGCAAAUCGAUCGUCUGAC
rnacentral:rRNA from 1 species